CGAGAUCGUGACCUGAGCCGAAGUCGGACGGUUCACCGAAGUUGGACUGAGCCCCCGGGCGCCCCCCUAGUGCCAUUUUAGAUUCGUCGGCUGCUCUUCAUAGUUUUGCUCGGUGCAUUUUGAGGCCUUGUCAGCAGAGGUGGACGUCUUUGUAAGAGCCAUACUGCCUGGCAGACUGCUCCCUCCCCUUCUGGAAUGUUCUUUAGCUCUAGAGACGCCUGUUGCCUUAGACUUUACUUGCCACUCGCAGUUGGGCAUAACUUUGUGUUUUCUGUUGCUGCCUUGACAAAUGGCCACAAACUCAGUAGCGGAAGACAGCUCGCGUGUGCCGUGUUGCACUCCUGCGGCCCGGGCGUGUGCGUGUGCCUCCCCGUGGCCUUCUCGCGGGGCCCACAACAGCGAUCCCCGUCUGCCAAGGGGGAGCCCUGUAGAGCGUGGGGGUAGCCACGGGGCGCAGUGCCCACCGCCUGUGCCACACGGACGGCACCCCUGUUCCAGGAGGGGGCCGACA